CAAUUUAAUAUAAUAGUGUUAGUCAAAAAGCAUAAAGUAAUAUUUUAAAUUUUUGUCUCCAUGAUAAAUAGAAUUGCAUUAUUUAAGGUAAAUAGAUAGUACAAAAGAUUAUGCUUUCUAGAAAAUUAAAAUAGUUAAGUAAGAAAAGGCGUUUUGUUUGAAUAUAUUUCUUAUAACUAUUGUACAACGAAUAGAAUAUAAAAAUUAUGAUAGAUAGUAUGAAUGUGUAUUUGAUGGAUAAUAUAUAGAUAAAAAAGAGCGUAGCAGGCAAUGAAAUAGAAAGAAAGUACUAUAUUUAACUUACCGUAACUAUUCUGUAACAUUUAGAAAAUAAGAAUAGUUAGGGUAAGUUAAAAAACGUUUUAUAAUUUUUGUUUUCGAGAUAAAAGCUAAUGAAAAAGAAGAUAAUUAAAGUUUUAGUUAUUUGUGUUGAAAUUAGUAUUGGUUUCACAGCAUUAGGGACAAUUUUGAAAAAGGUUACUCAAUUAAUAAUACGUUAGCAAAUCCGUAAAAUUCAUUAGAUAGAAACUUAAAUAAUCUUUUAUUAAAAUGAGGAUAGAACUUUUAUCAGUAAAAGCAUUGUAUAAUAAAAAAAGAGUUUAACUAACAAUUAGUGGUUUUGCUCUAAGAAAUAAAUAUUAGAAUUACUAAUGCCGAUAUAAAUUCUUUAAGGAUGGUUAGUUUUUUUCAUAGCCUUAGAAUAGUUGCAAAAUUUCAUAUAGGACAAUGAAAAAUAAUUGAAUAUAAGAAAACUAAUGGCUAGGAAACUCCAAAAUUCUUGAACGACAAUGGGGGGUAUUUUUUAAAUUAUCUAUAUCCUUUUAAUGAUAAUAUAUCGCAAAAAGAAAGUGAUUAUUACUGUUAAUCAUGUUGUAUUAAAAAAGCUUGCCUAAUUUAGAAAUAAAUUUAUUUCUAAAUAAUGUUACAGAAAAUACUACUCCACCUAAACAUCCGAUUAAGCUUAUUAAAAAAAAUAGUUGAAGAGUACUUUCAAAUUUGUAAACACUAGAAAUGAUUUUUAACAUUAGUAAGCUUAAAAUAGU
rnacentral:misc_RNA from 1 species